UUCAAUGGCGUUGUCUUCUCCAUCUUUCGCCGGACAGGCAGUGAAGCUCUCUCCCGAAAUCACCGCCAACUACAGCCGUGUCUCAAUGAGGAAAACCGCCGCAAAGCCGAAGCCUGCGUCAUCCGGCAGCCCAUGGUACGGCCCAGACCGUGUCAAGUAUUUGGGUCCAUUCUCCGGGGAGGCACCUAGCUACCUCACCGGUGAGUUCCCAGGUGACUACGGGUGGGAUACAGCUGGACUUUCGGCUGACCCCGAAACAUUCUCCAAGAACCGUGAGCUUGAAGUGAUCCACUCAAGAUGGGCCAUGCUUGGUGCUCUUGGUUGCGUCUUCCCCGAGCUUUUGGCCCGCAACGGUGUCAAGUUCGGUGAGGCUGUUUGGUUCAAGGCCGGAUCACAAAUCUUCAGUGAGGGUGGCCUCGACUAUUUGGGCAACCCAAGCUUGGUCCAUGCUCAGAGCAUAUUGGCCAUUUGGGGUGUCCAAGUUGUUUUGAUGGGAGCUAUUGAGGGCUACAGAAUUGCCGGUGGGCCCCUCGGUGAGGUUGUUGACCCACUUUACCCGGGUGGUAGCUUUGACCCAUUGGGCCUUGCUGAGGACCCCGAAGCCUUCGCUGAGCUCAAGGUAAAAGAGCUAAAGAACGGCAGACUUGCAAUGUUCUCCAUGUUCGGAUUCUUUGUUCAGGCUAUUGUCACCGGAAAGGGCCCACUCGAAAACCUUGCCGACCAUCUUGCCGAUCCCGUUAACAACAAUGCCUGGGCCUUUGCCACUAACUUCGUACCCGGAAAGUAAAAUUGACAUAGAUGAGUACUGUAGUGAUUAAUACGGAUUGAUUGAGUAUGAUGUAAAGUUAAUGUGUAUUAUUAUUAUUAUUGAAAUAUUAUAAUAAUGUAUUUAUGGGAUUCAACAAAUGACAAAAGCCUAUCAACAAUGUCUUGUGCUUCUGUUCGAUGACUUGUACUUGAAGCAUCACGGUCAAUAACUUCAAGUACAUCAAUUAUUGCAUCAAAUUAAACAUAUUGAUCAAACUCAACAAAGUAUUGUAAUGCGAGCUCCAACGCGUAUUACCUGUGUAUUUAAAAAAGUAAAUAAAAAUAAAAAUUUAUGAGACAUUCUAAAAUGGUAAAAAAAAAUAUUAAAGCCUAAAAAUAAUAUAACCUGCUCGUUUGAGAUUUGUUUCUUGAUUUAGACCUCGCCCACUUGAAAUCUCCCCCAUAUUGAGUGCAUCGAUUAUGUUUUCAUGUUGCUUUUGUCUAAGCAAAUCACGACGUUUACAUGAAGAACCAACAACAUUCAACACUCUUGUAUUAAAAUCAAAAAGUGAAGAAAUAUGAUCGUGCUUCUUAGCAACUGCUACUAAAGCUAAUUGGAGCUGAUGAGCGAAGCAAUGAAUAUAAUAUGCACAAGGGUUCUCAUUCAAGAUGAGUGUUUUUAGGCCACUGAAUUGACCUCUCAUAUUACUAGCUCCAUCAUAACCUUGACCACGUAAUUUAGAGACACUCAAUCCAUAUCGAGAAAAAAAAUCAUCAAUAGUUGCUUUAAGAGUCAAAGCACUAGUAUCAGUAACAUGUUCAACUCCUAAAAAUCGCUCAAUCACAAUACCAGAUUUGUCGACAUACCUUACCACUAAGGCCAUUUGCUCCUUCAUCGAUAUAUCCCUUGCUUCAUCAACCAUUAGACAAAACGUCGAAUCACCAAUAUCACUUAUAAUUUCUUUCAGAAUUUCCAUUGCAAAUGCAUUUACAAUCUCCUUUUGAAUAUCUGAACAUAUCAUCUUGUGGUUUAAUGGAGCAUUGUUCAGAGUAACUUCUUUAAUAUUCGAAUUAAUUUGCCCAAAGGUUUUCACAAGUUGAAUAAAAUUUCCUGGAUUAGUCGAAUUUUCGCUUUCAUCGUGACCACGAAAUGCUAGUCCUUGUGUUGAGAGAUAUCGAGCCACCUCAAUUGAAGUAAUCAAACGCAUUUUAUAUUUAGCCUUUUCUUGAUCUGACUGCUUGUGAACAACUGUCUCAAUAUGUUGAUUUUGAUUCAUCAAAUCUGCACAUUUCCCCAAGCUUCAUUAUGUGCACUAUUAGGACCUCCUACGUGAGUAACUAACUUUUCAUUUCUCUUCCAAUUACUAAAUCCUUCAGUAACAAAAUGAUCACCUCCCGAUUGACCUCCCAUAUCUGGUUUGAAAAGAUAACAGCAUAAACAAUAUGCUGCAUCUUUGGAUACACUAUACUCCAACCAAGUACUAUAUUUGGUGUACCAAGUGUUAAUAAAUCGACUAUUUUGCUUGCCAUAAAUUGUGAGAGGAAAUGCGUGGUUAUACGGUAGGCAAGGACCUUUUUGCAAAUAUGUUCUACGAACUCGAUCUCGAUCAUUAACAUUAUAUUGUAAAAUACUAAGGCCUUUGUCCAGGAUUUGCAGGAAGAUCUUCUAAGUUAAUUUCUCGGAGUGGUUUAUUCGAUGUAGAUUCAUCACCUUCUUGAAGAGGAGGUGCUUUUCUUUUUAAAUAUGUAACAUAACUGUUUAACAAGACAAAAUAAAAUAUAUUAAUAAAAAAAUAAGGAGUUCCAAGAAAGUGAUCAGAGAUUAAGACAACAAAAAUUAAAGGAAAAAAGCUCAAAAUCCAUAAAAUAUAUCACUUUGUCAAGUUUUUUUAAUAAUAAUAAUGAAUGGAGAAUUAAUAAAUAAUAAAAUAUAUAAAGAAUGAUGAAUAAAAAUCACCUGUCUCAAUUCUUCAUAUACUGCUACUGGUGCGUGCAUAUCAUAUGGUCUUUUCUUUGUUUUUUUAUUUAUUUUAUUUUUAUUUUUUUAUUUAUUCAUCACUCCAAUUUUUCACCUGAUCAAUUUCCUUCGUUUGUUUGCCAAUUACAUCCACUUUUAACAAAUAUCAAUUCCUUAAAUUCACUUUUCACCAUUAUCAUCGCAUUACAAGAAGUUCCCAUUUUCCCGAUUUUUAGUUCUUUCUUUGCCUCCACUGUAGAAGAUAAUACCAAAACAAACAACAAAACCUAAAUUGCAAUGAAAAUCCAGGAAACAUGUAUAUCUAGUCGAUUAUCAAAAUUACUCAAUCGACUUCUAAAUUUCUAAUUGAUAUUCAGUAUGAAAAUUAAGAUGAGAGAGAAGAUGCGAAACCUUAAUCGAUCGCCGGUAGGUGGCAAUUUCCGGCAAGCAACGAUUGUAGAACGCUAUAUGCAACUGUGCAAGAGAGUUUUUUUUAUUUCUUUCUUUCUGAGAGAAACGAGAACGACGUUUCGUGAGAGACGAUGCUUUGAAUAGUGGGCUAAAAAUAAGUGAUGUUAGAUAAUAUAAUUGGGUAUUUGGGUGGGCUUUAAAAGGAAAUAGGGUAUUUUAUAUAUAUAUAUAUAUAUAUAUAUAUAUAUAUAUAUAUAUAUAUAUAUAUAUAUAUAUAUAUAUAUAUAUAUAUAUAUAUAUAUAUAUAUAUAUAUGAGAAAAUUUUUAAGAAGUGAGGGGGGGCUUGAGUCCACCCUAGCCCUUGCGUGGACUCGGACUGGUCACAUAUGUGAGCCCACAUAAUUAUUGAAAUAAUUUCAAAAAUCUCCCACUAGGGGCACAUAUGCUAUAUACCUUAUAAAUGUGUACACCUUAUGAGCUCAAAUAUUGCUAUCAUAUAAAAAUGUAUUCCUUACAAUCUCGUCCAUUGACCAUACUAAUAUAGGACUAAAGAGAAAAAGAAAAACGUCUUCAUCUUGUUCCAGCAGUCAGUCCUGGAUUUUGAGAACCCAUGGCCCGAAACCUCCGAACAAACCACCGACAUAACCCUCUGCAAUUCCAAGGAUGACCGCUGCCGCCACACCAAUCUCACCGCCCACCGGCGCACACCCGAUCUCAUCGCCCAGCAUCGCACACCUCCGCUGCGGCUUGGGGCGGCCUCAAUUGUGAGAAGAUCAUCUAAUCCUCCAUUCAUUGGAAGAAUAUCUAGUCGAUUCGGAGGAAGAAAUCGAGAGAAAAUAGUGUUCAUAUAACCUGAAUUGGGGAAAGGGGGAAAUUAAAUGAAUAUUUUUGACCUAAUUUUAGGUCCAAUUUCAGUCAAUUAAAAUGAGUUAGGAUUAGAUGUGUUCAUAAUACAAACUUUAGAAUGUAAUGUGUCCAUCGUCGAAAAAUCUCGCUUGGGGUUGUGGGCGGCAGAUCUGAAGACAAUAUGGUGGUGGUGGUGAGCUUGGUAGUUGUGCAAGAUGUCGGAGCUGGUUCCUGGUGGUGAGCGGCGGACGACUGCAACAUGAUAGAAAUGGUUGAUGAAAGUUGUGAGUUGGGUGAGUAGGAUGGGCUGGUGUGCGUGGAAUGGGUAGCUGCUGGGAUUGGGAACAAGAUAAAGGCAACUUUUUUUUUAAUUAUUCGAUUUGACAUUUAUUCCAUUUUAAAAAUGGAAAAGACGUCAGUAGGCUUAGAUUUGUCAUGUGCAACGCGCGUGGGUUGAGAACCAAUCAUUUUGAUCCGAAAAUAGGUAAAAAAAAGGGUAAGUGGCAUAAUUAAAUGAGUACAAGUGAACUCGUGCAAAAUAGAAUUUGUUCGUUUGGUGAUCCGCAAAACCUUAAAAAAUUUAAAUGGUUUAAUUCUAUUUACCCUUUAAAUUAAUUAUUUAAUUAAAAUAUAGUCGGGGUUAAAUUAGAUAAUUCGAUGUUAAUUUAUUUUAUAUUAGUUUAAUAGAAAAAAUUUAAUCGAAGGCUACUUUGGUUAAUGAUUCAUUAAUUAUAACACCAUCCAUGUUAUUUUCCUAGACUCGAGAUCUAAUCUUAUAAGAUUAACGGUGAUUCGAGCAUAUCUCAUAUGAGUUUCAAACACGAAAUACCUUUAGACAAACUCAUUAAAAUAAUAUUGAAAUCAAAAUUAAUUGUAUAACUAUCUUUAAAUAUUAUACUUCCCAAACAUGCAUGCCCACAUCUUCCCAAAAUCAAAGACAAAAAAAUAAAAAAAAAUUGUCCUGCGCAAUCUUUGCCCACCACCCCCCCCCCCCCCCCUCCCUACCUUUUUGGGCCACUGUAGCUUCGCCCAUGUACAUUGAUACCAAUUCUAAAAAAAUGGACGUAGCUGGUGAAAGUAAACAAGCCCGCAUUGAAGUGCUAGGAUUUUGUCGCCGUCAGAAUCAUCAGGUCUUUGUCAUUACAACCAAGAAUAAUAAGACUCUAAAAGAACUUCUUUCAACUAUAGAAGAAAAAAGUGGAGCUAUAAAUCUCAAUCCUUUGAUUCUUCAAUAUCUAGCCCCGCAUGAAAGACUGUAUAUAUCGGUGACGAACGAUGAAGACGUGCAUAUGAUGGUGUUGAUGAUGCAUUUGAUAUUGAAAAUGAACAUCGUCGACAUUAUUAUUGCUCAAAAGAAUGAUUCAUCUGUGUUGAAACGACACCAACAUAACCAGGUAUUUAUUGGCUUCCUCGUAAAUUACAAUUUAUGAUAAGGAACGUCAAAUUGGACUCGAAUUGCAAAAUAACUAUUUAAUUCGGAGAAGAGUUAUUAAUGGGCAUCGGUGGAGAUAUCGAAAGAAAUUAUGGAAAAAUAAGGGUUUUCAACGAACUCGAAUUGUAUUUGAGUAUGAAACGAACUCUAUCUCAAGUGAAACGGCGCAAGGAACAAAACUCAUGAGAAAAGCUCAUGAAUCACGUCAAAUUUCAGCAAUCCAGCGUCAUUUAGACUCCUAAAAGUUCUUUUUUGCUAUUUUAGGUAAGUUUUAGAAAAUUAAUAUCAAAUCAUAGAAAAAUCGUAUUAGGAUUCCGUAAAUUGGGUUGUUCCCAAAACUACGAGAUCUACUAGAAUUAGGAUUUAACUCAUUUUUGCCGUUUUUGGUAAUUUUUAGCAUUUUCUUAAUUUAAUUAGGGUUUUCAGUUUUUUUAGUAUAAAUAGAUGCCUUAGGACUUUAUUUUGAAGAAGAAUUUCGAAUUUUAAUAAAAUAUUUAGAGUUUUCUCUAUUUUUAUGGUGGAUUCUAGAGUUUUCGGUGGAUUCCGAAUGUUAUCGUGUUCUAUAGGAUUAAUUCGUAGAAAUUAAUUCCUUUUGUGCUCCCGUCCUGCAUCAGUUGGCAUUAGUAGCGAGGUUUUUCCUGGUUAGAUGGCGAAAGGUGCGAAACAUGGAGACAACAACUACGUUGGCGAUGACCGCGGGGUUGAGAAACUGCAAAAUCUGUGGUUGGUGCGCGAGGGAUUUGCCCUUGACAACAACAACAGAAGGACUGAAUCUUACACGAUGAUUGCCGACGGUGUAGCCCGAGGUGCAUAUGUUAGACACAAUUAUCAUGGACCUGUUCAACUUCAAUCAAGGUAUGAUGACUACUCAAAGGUGAGCGGCAACUCUUAUUUUGAAGAAAACCCGCCUAUAAGGAGGCAAAAUGAUCGUGAUAAAUAUCGGGUAAGAGCUGAAAUUCCUUCUUUUAGUGGAAAUUUUCUUGAAGUUGAGGAUUUUAUCGAUAGGGUAUCAGAAGUCGAAAGGUAUUUUGAAUUGAUGGAUAUUUUGCCGAAUAAGAUGGUAAAAUUGGUGAGGUGUGAGUUAAAGGGUAGUGCAGCCGCAUGGUGGGAUGGGAUACAGUGAGAAAAAUUUCCAAUCCAAUCAUGGAGAAGGAUGAGAAAAAUGUUGAUGGAUCGUUUUUUACCCCUAGGUUAUGAGCAACGUUUAUUUCAACUAUAUUGUAAUUGUUCGCAAGGGAGUAGAUCUGUUAACAAGUAUACUGCUGAGUUUAUGAGACUAGCAAACUUAAAUAACCUGCAAGAAUCCGAAAGUACGGAAAUUUCACGGUACUUGGUAGGAUUAAAUAUUUCAAUACGUCUUGGGAUGGGGUGGCGUAUAUUCUACACCCUUGAAGAGGCUCAAGAGUUAGCAUGGAGAGAGGAAUAUUAUCAGCGAAAUAGUUCUUCUAGAAAAACCGAAGAUGUUUCACCCGUUGUCAAAGUUAAGGAGGCACAAGAUACUUCGUUCGUUAUUCAACCUCCAAAUUUGGUGGAGGGUCAUGAUGUAGGAGUUGACGAAGUUGAAGAGGGGAUUGUCGUAAAAGUUAAAAGUAGCGUAGCUAUUAUUAACGAUGACAUUAACGAAAUCAAAGUGAACGUCGACGAAGUUGAAGGAACAGUCAACGAGCUUGAAGCGAACAUCAAUAAAGUUGAAGAGAGCGACAAUUGGGUAGAAGAGAAUAUUAGCAAGCUUGGAGAAGAAGUCGACGAGUUUAAAGAGGGUGUUAAAAGUAAAUUUGAGGAAGAGUUUGAAGUUGUAGAAUUUUCUCAAGAAGAGGAAGGUGCACGAGAAGAGAAGGUACAAGUGGAUUGCGUUGAGGUAUGUGAUCUAAUUGUAGAUAGUGUUUGCUGUGAAGUUCUUGUAUCGGAGAAAUUGGUGGAGCCAUUGGGAUUUUCGAUUAAGAAGCCAACUUUUCCAAUUCCUCGUUUGGAGGAAGAUUUUGUAAGUAAGAUUUUUGUGCCGGAAAGAUUGGUGGAGCACUUGAAGUUGUUUGCAACGAAAUAUGCAUCGCUAUAUUUUGACCAUAGCUCGAGGUCGAGCUCUUUUGAAGAAGAGGAGAUUGAUAAGGAACGUCAAAUUGGACUCGAAUUGCAAAAUAACUAUUUAAUUCGGAGAAGAGUUAUUAAUGGGCAUCGGUGGAGAUAUCGAAAGAAAUUAUGGAAAAAUAAGGGUUUUCAACGAACUCGAAUUGUAUUUGAGUAUGAAACGAACUCUAUCUCAAGUGAAACGGCGCAAGGAACAAAACUCAUUAGCAAAGCUCAUGAAUCACGUCAAAUUUCAGCAAUCCAGCGUCGUUUAGACUCCUAAAAGUUCGUUUUUGCUACUUUAGGUAAGUUUUAGAAAAUUAAUAUCAAAUCAUAGAAAAAUCGGGUUGUUCCCAAAAUUACGAGAUCUACUAGAAUUAGGAUUUAACUCGUUUUUGCCGGUUUUGGUAAUUUUUAGUAUUUUCUUAGUUUAAUUAGGGUUUUCAGUUUUUUUAGUAUAAAUAAGUGCCUUAGAACUUUAUUUUGAAGAAGAAUUUCGAAUUUUAAUAAAAUAUUUAGAGUUUUCUCUAUUUUUCUGGUGGAUUCCAGAGUUUUCGGUGGAUUCCGAAUGUUAUCGUGUUCUAUAGGAUUAAUUCGUAGAAAUUAAUUCUUUACCGUGCUUCCGUUCUGCGUCAAUAUAUUUGGAAUUUAAAAGUGAAUCUAUCCUUAUUAGAAAAAUUCACGAGAGAUUGUAAUCAAGGGAUUUUAGCUUGUAAAUGUUGGAAAUUUUAUUCUUAAAAUAAAAAUAUUUUUUGAUGAAAAAAAAAGUUUUUUGGCACCUAUUUGAUCAAUAAGGUGUGACAAUAUGAAGAGUUGUGGCCACAUCUUUUCAUUUGUUUAGUUUCCUUACGGUUGAAUCUAUUAAUCGCAACCACUGGAAACUUAUAAAUAAAAAACUCCACAUGUUUGAUUUCAUAACAUCAAAAAUCAAUUCAAUUCCAUAAUUUUGUUUUAUGGAAUUCUUAAUUCUUUCUUUAGCCCGAAAAUAUUCUUCGUAGAAUAUUUUCUUACGUAUUCGAUUCGAGAGUUUGAGACACAAAGUAACGUUCGUUGUACUCAGGAUUUUGAGUGCUCAUAUUCCGAUUUUAGCAGUUGUAUCUUGAGAGACGAUUGUCAAAUAACCGCAAGCACCGUAGCGGGGAAAUAUCGUCUUAAGGAAAUAGUUUUCUCACCUCGGCUAAUCUUUUCGUAUUUUCACUAACUAAUUUGUUCGACCAUUUUACUAAAUUCACUACGCGUUUUAUAUACCAGGAACAACAAUCUUAAGACUAUAGUUUUAAUGUUUAUGUCAUGUAGUACAAAGAGUAUUACACCCUCGAUCGUGAAAUAUCGAUUGCUUGUUGAACCCUCUGAAUUGCGUGAAAGUAGGAUACUCAAAAUUUGGGGGUCUAGGAUUUUUAAAAAAUGUUCUUGGUGGAAAAAAAUGUGAAUGAAAUACCCCACUGAAUUGAAUUGGGUCCAUGAAUCUAAGAAAUAGUGAGAAUUCUCGAUCUUUCUCAAUUCGAAAAUCCAUGAUUUGAAUUGAUGUCCUUUCAUUGAUUCCUCCUAUUUGCAUUGAUUUAUCCUAAAGAUUUCAUUUCAACUGGAAUUUGUUUAUCCACCAUGAUUAUUUUUGCGCACGUUGGUAAAUAGCAUACUCGGCCCAUUUCUCAUUUGAGUGUUGACUUCAUAUAAAAAGACACAAUACCCCCGGGAUUUUGCAAUUAAUAAAUUCUUAUGUUUUUUAAAUAUUUUAAUUAUUUUAUUUUUGUUAUAUCUUAAUUAUAAAGGUACAAUGGGGUUUUUAAUUUAUUUUUAUUUUUAUUAUCACAUAAUUUUUAUAUAUAUUUUAAAUUAUCGCUACAUCAAAAAAAAACUUUAAUUCCAUUAUUAUGUAUUUAAAAAAAUCUAUACUUAAUUUGAUUAACAAAUUUUUAAUUAUUUUUUAAUUUAAUUAUUUACUAUUUUUUAACAAUAUUUUAAUUUCGAAACAAUAAAAUUAAAAGGAAAAUAUAUAUACAUAUAAUAUAUAUACAUAUAAAUACAUUUUUAGGAUCAAUUUCGUCAUUUCACGUCCAAAAACCAACUACCAGUCGCGUAACCCGCGAGUGAGCCACACUUAAGUCAACCGGGGGGUUUUUGCCUUUGACUAAAUUUCACCGGGGGGUGUUUGCUAGUUUAUUUAUCACAGGGGAUUUUUGCUAUUUGGAGAUUACACGGGGGUACUUUUUGCAGUUUACUCAUUUAUUUGCAUAAAUUGCAUAUAGUUUUGAUACGGGAUUUGCUUUCUCCCAAUUGUCAUUUGAUGUGGCCAGUUGAUUGAUUUUCGAAUAUGUUAUAUGGAAUUUGUGAGUAUGUGAUUUUAUUAACGUUUCUAUUAUUGUCUAUGAACGAAUUAAUUCCUUAGAUUUUUGUUAUUGCAUGAACACGUAUGGAUUACGUGCUAUAGAAUUUAUAUCAAUUAAUUAUGUUGGACAUGAAUUAAUUUAUGCCAUGAAAUAUUAUGUCCAAAUUUGAUGUUAUUAUAUACUCGUGGUAUACAAUGUAUAUUUUGAUAAAGUAUGUUUGGUCUAUUGUUUCUUUAUAUAAUUAACUAAUAUGAAAGUCGUGCUCACACCUCAAACAUUAUGUCUACAAUAUUGAUGUACAUAUAUUUUAUAUACGAAUCAUACAAAAGUGCAAUUAAAAGCAUGAUUGAAAUGAAAUAGAAAGAAAGAGAAGCUCAAUUCAUGAGAGCACAUGAGUAGUUCUCGUCUCAAGAACAUAAAAGGAGAUCGAAUCGUUGGUUCAAUUUGAUUUUUUGAUACCAAAUUUACAAGAUACUGAUCUACAGUGUGAAUGGAAGAAAUAGGAUUUUGAGUUUUUAAAAAAUCCGAAAUAGUUGUAAACAACAAUGAAUGUUUUGUUGAAAGAAAAUUCCAGCAGUUUACUUAAGAGCUCGUUUUGUAGAAUUGAAUCGUCAGAUUUGGAUGAAUUUUGAACGGCAUAUUUAGGACAUAUAAUCUUAUCUUAUGAACAGUUAAGAUUAGAAUUUGCAUAUUCUAACUUUAAUAUUGAAUAGUGAACAUCAACCACAAUUUGGAGAGAUUAAUAUUCUCUUGUUUAUUGACAAGAUUUAAGUAUCUUGACGAAUUUUCUCUUUUUUAGAAAACUAAAUAAAUAUUAUUCUCUAAUUUAUUGACAAGAUUUAAGUAUUUUGAGAAGUUCUCUUUUUGUAGAAAUACAUGCUUCUGAAAUUAAAUCAUAUCGGUGAUUUAAAAGAUUUCCCUAACUAAAUGAGAAAGGUAUAUCGUUACAUUUUGUAUCAUUGUUAAUGAAAUAAAAAUAAGGAUUUCAAAUCAUUUAAAUGCUAUGUGAGUGAAAGUUGGAAAAGGCCAAGUUUGACAAAUGAAUUAAAAAAUGAGUACUGAAACUCUUGGAAAAAGUUUAUGGAUAUCAUAUUGAUAAAUUCUAGAAUACAUACUCUAGAAUUUGUGGGGGAAAUUAGAUAUCCCGAGUUAACCACAUUAUUAAAUAUUUAGAAAUGUGGUGGUGUUAAGGCCGAGGUAAAUGUACCUAAGAUAAGAGGCCAAAAAUAGUUAAGUGCAUUUUCAUUGAAUAUACAAAUAAUGAUUGUGCAUAAAAUAGUCAUUCUUGAUGCAAAUUGAUUAUAUUGGAUUUUCCUGUCAAAAAAAGAAAUAAAUAAGUUCUAAACAAGAGAACUUAUAAACGUGUAAGUGGUAAAUCAUGAAAGUGAUGAACAACCAAGCUAAAAUAUGUGCGAUUGGUAAAUCAUCAAAGUGAUAAACAACCAAGAUACAACAAGAUAAAAAUAAAUUCAAUAUGUUUGAUUUUGAUUGAAUUUAUAACUAAUGAGUUAUAGAAUGAAGAAAGGACACCAAAUGAAAUAUUGUCCACAUUGGAUGAAUGUAGGUGGAAGUUAUUUUGUCUUCUUCUAAAUAGUAAACCAUUAAGGUUAGAUGGACUAUUCAAAAGAAGAAUUAAAAGGGUGGUCCUAUAAAGCUAAUUUAAAUAGCUUUGGAAAAAUCUUGAUUAUUUAUAACAAGAUAUUGAAACUCGUUAACUCAUUCUAAAGUAAUAUUUGAUAAAAUUGUUGUAUAAAAUAAUUCUCGUAAUAACGAUUGUGAACAGUGUGUUUAUACUAAAAGCACAUGGAAGUAUAUGUCUAUAGACUAUAUUAUAAUUAUGAGAUAGUUAGUGAUCAUGAUAUUAUUUUGAACGUUGAGAAAUAAUGAAAAAAAUAAAAAUUAAAUGUCUGAUGUCAAAGACGAGGGUCUAGACGACGUAACCUUAUAGAUUAAACUCACUAAGAACAAAGAUAGUCUUAUUGAAAGUUUCAGGUUGAGAUACUACUAGAAAAAAUGAUCUAGUUGUCCAAAGACCAAGUCAUUACUUUGCCAAAAAUAAUGAUGAACAAUGAUUCAAUUACAAAUUUUUUUGGACAGUGUGGCAGUAUAAUGUACUGCAACUUUAUAGAUAUGUAAUCACAAAAUAAAUAAUCAUUCAAUGAUAUUACAAGGGUUCUUAGGUAAUAUACGUAUCGCCUUUAAAUGGAUUACAUUAAAAAAAAAUAUAAUUGUAUUAGGAAAGUACAUUGGAUAUAUGAGUCCACUAAGAUUAUGUAACAUGGAAAUCCUCAAAGAAAAAUGUAUAUCUCGAUUCAUGAUUGAAUUCGAAUAGCUUUAGAUAAAGUUAUAAAAGAAGUUGAAUAAACUUCAUAAAAUUAUGUAUCUUGGAAAUCCUCAAAAAAAAAAUGAAUAUCUCGAUUCAUGGUUGUAUUCGAAUAUCUUUAGAUGAAGUUAUAAAAGAAGUUGAAUAAACUUCAUAAAAUUAUUGGAGGAUGUUCCGUGUUGGACUAAGUCGGUGCCUGCAAUUAUAAAUAAAUUGUGAUAGCCGAUCGGUUACAAUAAUGGCACAAACGACAUGUAUAAUGGCAAGUAUCGACACACUCGUCAUACACAUAAGACCAUUAGGAAAUUGAUCUCAAAAUAAAUAAUUAACAUUGAUUAGGCAAAUCAAUGGUUAAUAACGGAUUCACGACUAAAACUAAACUACAAAGAUCAAACAUAUGGCCUAUCUAGAGGAGUGAGACUAAAACCCACAAAUUAAGAAUUUUUAUAGUGGUAACCCAACCAUGAUGACUGGAAAUCCCAAAAACUUGUUCAAAAGGGACAACUAAGCUAUGGAAAUUCAAUGAUGAACUAAGGAGUAUAUAUUCCUAUGGAAUUAUAUAUUUCCACGUCAUUUCCGUGAUAAACAUUUAGUGUUGUCUGCAGAGAGUGUAAAGGAUAAGCGAAAGUUUUUAAGGAUUUCAAAACUUUGAUAAAAGGUGAGGUAUUGGCAGGAUAUAUACCUUUAAUUGGACAUAACCUAUUAUCGAUAUGUCGGCCACUUCAAAAUGAAAAACACUUAUGAAUCAAAGAUGUGCUCCAGGGUCAAAAUGAACGCAACCAUGAGAACCGAUGAAAUGUGGAAAAACUAUUGUGUGGUUAUCAUUGUCUUGGUUUACACAAAUGGCUGACAGUUCAAGACAUCACGUUUACUAAUUAGCCAAGUAAAUCCGAUGGUAUACCGCUAAGGAUGGUUUAAAGCCACAAGCUACCUAUCCCCAAUGCAAUAGUUCCACUUGAACUCUCCAUAGAAUCCAUCGUUUUUCGUUAAUUUUAUUGUUGGAAAUUUUAUUCUUUUUUGAAUGGAAAUUAAAAAAAUAUUUUUUGGCUCCUAUUUGAUCAAAUAUGUGAGACAAUAUGAAGAGGUGUAGUCACACCUUUUCAUUUGUUUAAUUUCCUAACGGUUGUAUCUAUUAAUCACAACCAUUGGAAACUUAUAAGUAAAAAACUCGACAUGUUUGAUUUCAUAACAUAGAAAAUCAAUUCAAUAUAUUCCAUAAUUUCGUUCUAUGGAACCCUUCUUUCUUUAGCCCGAAAAUAUUAUUCAUAGAACAUUUUCUUUGGAAUAUUCGAGAGUUUGAGACACAAAGUAACGUUCGUUGUACUCGGGAUUUUGAGUGUUCAUAUUCCGAGUUUAUCCGUUGUAUCUUGGGAGACGAUUGUCAAAUAACCGUAAGCACCGUAGCGGGGCAAUGUUCAGGAAAGUGUUUUCUCGCCUCGGCUAAUCUUUUUGUAUUUUUACUAACUAAUUUGUUCGACCAUUUUACUAAAUUCACUACCCAUUUUACUAAAUUCACUACCCGUUUUAUUUUAAAAUGGUAUUAUAGGGACUUCAGGGUGGCCGAGGGGGUAUGUCAAAAUAUUUUCGAAAUGAGGGGGGUUUCCCCUAUAGUGUAAUCCACUUGGUAGUUAGUUCUAUAUAAUUUGGAAAUGAGGGGGUCUACAAAAUAAUCUCUAAAGGAAAAAGCAAUUAAGGAAAACAAACACGAUGAGCCAUUUAAAACAAAGGACUCUUAGAUAAAACGCCCCCAAACAUUACAAUAAUAUGCAUGGGUCUAUUCAUAUUUUCAAUAUUUGAGAUGAACCCAUACUCUUUUCUUCUUCCUUAAAAUAACAAUAACAACGACAAAAAUAGCGAAAACCAACUAUUUUUUAUAAAAAAGACAAAUAUAAAAAAAUUGUAAUUGUUUCAUACAAAUUGGAUGAUGGAUUGACAAUGUCGGAACAAAAAAAAAAACCACCGUUGUGCCCCCAAGUCCAACUACCUGUUGUAAAAUAAGGAAUCAAUAAGCAAAAAUAUUUACAAUAAUAGUCGUUUAACCUUAAUCGAAUACUAAAGCGUAGUUGAUUAACCUUAAUCGACUACUCAGUUCCGCCCGAAGCCCUGUCCUUGACUACCCAAAAAUACCUAGAUCUGCUCUCCAUCGUCACUAGAACGUGCCCACAUCACACCAUUACCAUCCCCAUCCCCCCAACCCCAUCACAACCACCGGGCAUAUCCAAGCACACCUCCAUAAAUACAAUAGUCAAACCUAGCACCACCGCAAGUAAGUUCACGAAUACAACAACAACCACCACCCUCUUCCUCGAAAAAUAAACCUUACACGCUAGGAGAACCGUCCACUUCUCGCCACCAGUCGUCACCUCUACAUCUGCCGCGCCACGACCCUGGCCUGCCUUAGUCCUCGUCUUCCUCGUUUGGACAUUAGUCUAUGCCGUAGCGUUCAACGCCGCCAUCCGCUACAUGUGAGCGACCCAUUGCCCAACCUAACCAUUGAUCUAAUAUUGUAAAGAUGGAGAGAGAAGAGAGAAGAAGAUAAUGGAGUGAGAAUAAAGAUUUUUUAGAUCGAGAAAAAAAAGAGAGAGGAAAGAACGGCGCAAGAGAAGAGAAUUAAUAAAUUAUGGUUAAAAAAGUUAGAAAUCAUUAAGGGUAUAAUCGAAGAUUUGCUACUAUUAAACACCCAAGCUAACAACAAAAGGGGUUCUCUCAAAUUAGAAAAAAAAGAGGGGUUCUAUCCUACAUGAAUUCGCGAAAAAUUGGGUGGGUAAUGCUUAUUUUUCAUGGAACUAGUAAGUGACACGUGCGUUGCACGUGCUUUAUGAUUUUUCAUAAUAUUCAUAUAUAAUAUCUAUCCCAUCAAUAUAAUAUUACAAAAUUAUAUAGGGAAAAAAUUAAUAAAAAAAUAUAAACACUAAAACUUAUUCCAAGUACUUUAUAGUUAAUUAAUAACUAAUAUCAAUCUAAAUGAUAUUGUUAAUGAUUUGUAAAAUUAAUUUCAAGUCCAUAGCGAGCCAACUCGUGGAAAGAUGAUGCACCCAAAACCAUAUCUCUCGGUGAUUUUAGUAGGUUUUUUUCCAAUAUUGAUCACUAUUAGAAUCAAUAUUGGCCAUUAUUGAUCACUAUCUUGGUGAUAUUUGCCAAUAUUGAUCACUAUUAGAACCAAUAUUUCUUCCUUUCUUUAUAUGAACAAAACUAUCCUUUGCACUUGUAAAUUUAUAAGGAUAAUUUUGUCAUAUUUUAUUAACAUAAUAAUUGAUAGACAAUGAAGACUGACAAUGAAGACUUUUAAUAUUUAUAGUCUUUACAAUUAACAACUUGAGCUAUGGUAAAAUCAUUAAUUAAUAAUUAUCACUAACUAUUAACAACAUUAAUUACUGACAACAUCGAGAGGGUUUAAUUCCUACUCCGAAAUGCACAAUUCUAUCUUUUAUGUUUCAUUUGCAUAUUUCCUAUUAAUUACUCUUCAGAUAGAAUUGCUUUGAUAUUUGCCAAUAUUGAUCACUAUUAGAACCAAUUUCUUCUUGAAAAAGGUUAAUAAAAAAAUAUGAACACAAAACUUAUUCCACGGUACUUUAUAGUUUAUUAAUAAUUAAUAUAAAUCUAAAUGAUAUUUUUUAAUGUAGAUUCAUGAAAAUAUUAAUUUAUUUUUCUUUAUCUUAAGUCGCAGACUUCUCGUUCUUCAAAUUUUCACACGUGUUAUUUUUUCGUUGUUACUUAAUUUAAAUAUCGUCGCAAUAUUAACUACUCUUUCAACAAUUUUUUUUUCCUUGCAUAUUUUUUCGUAAAUUAUAUGCAUCAAAAGUAAUUUUUGAUAUGACUAUUCUUUUAAUAUCCUUUUACAAUAUUACUUUUGUUAUUCUCUUUGACCCAUAGCUAGAAUAUAUAAACAGAUUCCACUAUAUCGCGUGGAGUGAUAUUUUCAUUUCUAUGUUAUUAUAAUUUACAUCCAAAUAAAUAAACUAAAGUAAAUCAAAUUACAUUAUUUUAUAUGUAAUUCACACCUACAAGCUAUAAUAUUCAUUUAUAUAAUCUCCCUUUUUUUUUUAAUGUUUUGAGGUUUGCCAAAUUCAGUUUGAAUUUUUGUAAAUAAUAUUUGAAAUCGAAACAGUACCAGGCUACUAAAAUAUUGGAAAAAUAUUUAACACCUCCCAUAUUUUAUACUAAUCUCUUGAUACCUCACUUUAUUAUACAGUUUUCAGUUUCAGAUCACUAUUCACUAUCACAACCACCUCAAAAAAUAUGCAUUCAACAUCAGGAUCAUCUUAAUAGAUCGAAAGUUUCAAAAAAAUAUGUUGCACGCUUUUGGAAACAAUCUAUUAGGAACAAUUGCUUGGACGGCCAUCCUCACAGAACUCUGGCCAAUUUUUCUUCAACCUGGAGUUUGUUGUCACAUUUACUGGAACAAAUAUUGUGACCUCUUAAGACAUAAUAAUAAUAAAAAUAAAAAUAGAAGUAAAAAUAAAAAUAAAGCAAUUAGUAAGAAAAUAGAUUAUGCCUCCCAACGAAAAAAACCAAACGAUUAUAUAAAUAUAUUUAAGAAAUACACAUCCAAUAUUAUAACUUACAAGAAUAUUUAUGAAGGAACUUAAUUAUGUUAGGCUUAUGUUGCAUCGUUAGAUUUCUUCAAAUAAUAGGCAAAUAAUUGUUUUUUCAUAAAUAGGUAGAUAAAUACAAUUCUAGAAUAACUACCCAACAAAUGAUAAAGUGCCAAUAAACAUUCACGUAACGUAUUUAUUUUGAAUUGAGAAUUUACUUAUGAAUUCAUAUAUAUAUAUAUAUAUAUAUAUAUAUAUAUAUAUAUAUAUAUAUAUAUAUAUAUAUAUAUAUAUAUAUAUAUAUAUAUAUAUAUAUAUAUAUAUAUAUAUAUAUAUAUAUAUAUAUAUAUAUAUAUAUAUAUAUAUAUAUAUAUAUAUAUAUAUAUAUAUAUAUAUAUAUAUAUAUAUAUAUAUAUAUAUAUAUAUAUAUAUAUAUCCAUGCACGAGACCAAAUUAGGCUAAAUCUUUGAAGACCUUUCUCUUCCCGGUGUGAUAGUUAGAGCGUGGAAAGAGACUUAAAGCUCUAAGUAACCAAUAACAAAAAGUACAACCAACACAAAGAAACUUAAAGCCACCAUAUAUCCUACGAAAGUUUUGUCAAAUAGAAAGAGCUAAGAGUUGGUUUUCAAUUUACGAUACUUCAUUUUGCAUCAUAAAACUUUCGAUGUCAUUCUUUUUCGGCCAUUUAACUCUUUACCACCAAAUUAAUAAUAAAACAUCAAAUAUAACAACAGGGUAAACUGCAUAAAACCCCCUUGUGUUACGUAAAAUCCGCUCCAAACACCUAUGUGUUAAUUUUAUUGCAUAGAAUUCUCCUUUGUUUUAUUUUAUCUUACAUGAAAUCCCCCAUUCCGUUAACAAUUAACACCAUUAACUAUUAGGGUAUUCCAUGCAAUUUAUUCAUAACACGAGGGGGUUUGGUGCAUUUUUUCAUCAACAUAUGGGGGUCGUAAGCAAAAUAUUUUAUUUAUUUAAAAUUUGAAUUAUUUUUUAAAAUUAAGUCUAAUGGUAAUGAUGGUAAUGAUGAAUUUUCUAGCAAGUUUCGUUUGUUUUUUUAUUUAUUUUUUAUUUUUUCAUUUUACCGUUUCCAAUUCAAAUUUUACAAUUUUAGAACUUUUUCUUCAUUUGGAUUUCAUUUCUUUUAAAACACAAUUGCAUCAAAAUUGAAACUAAUAAUUUUUUUUGAAAUUUCCAAUUUUGAAUAAAGAAAUUAUUUUAUCAAUGUAUUUAGAAAAAUAUUAUAUUUAUAUUAUCAAAAUGUUUAUAUAUUUAUAUAAUUUAGGUUGUAUGUAUUAUAUGUCAAUGAAUAUAAAUUUUAUGAAAAUUUGAAUUUAGUUUGAUAUAAAUAUUUAGAUCAAUAAUUUUGAAAAUUCGACUUUCAAAGAUUGAAUAAACGUGUUUGACUUAAUUUCAAAAAAUAAUUCAACUUUAAAAUAAAUAAAUAAAUUUUACAUAAGUUUCACUUUUAUUGUAAAUAACAUGCACCAAACCCCCUUGUGUUAUGAAAAACAUGCAUUGAAUUCCCCAAAAAUAUUUAACGGUGUUAAUUGUUAAAGGAAUGGGGGAUUUCAUGCAAGAUAAAAUAAAACAUAGGGAGAUCCCACGCAAUAAAAUUAACACAGAGAGAUUUGGUGCAUGUUUUCCAUAACACAUGGAGUAUUUAUGCAUUCAAAUCAUUUGCAAAACAUCAUAUUUUCUUUUAAAACAUUUGAAAUUAAAAAGUAAACGAUUAAUUAGAAGAGAGAAAAAGUUACAUGUACCAGUAGUAGUGGAUGAGCAUGUGAUUCUUUAAGAACUUUAAUCAAUAUUGAAGAAGGCAAAUAAAAAAAGGGAUAGAAUAUUAGAAGUAUAUCUAAUGAGUUUUUCUUGGUUUGUUUUAUUUUUUGACAUUCCCAAAGACAAUCCGAUAGAAUGUUCAUGUAUUCCUAUUACCUGAAGAGUUGUUAAUGAUAUUUAUUGUCAUUAACUGUGUUAUAAAUAAGUCAUUAUAUGUUAAAUAACAUUAAAAAAUUGAGUUUUGCAGUUACGAAGCCUUGGAAGUAAAGUGAGGGAAUACAAAUAGUUGCAAAGAAAUAACUUGGCAAACAAAUAACUUGAAUAUAAUUAUUUAUUUUAAAUCAGAUGGUAUAGUUAUUUAGCUAGUUAAGCAAUAUUACGAAAUUCCCCUUCAAAUAAACCUAAUUGAAGGGGCAUAUUUGUAAGCACAAAAAAAGGGAAGAAACCUCACCCAAGAUUCACACUUUUAUAGAUAGUAUAGAAAAUUGCACGUCACCCCUAUAAAUUUCUAUUUUUCGCACUUUACCCCUCCAAAUUUAAAAAAGUGAAUGCCCCCUUUCAAAAUGUUAUUCUUGUUGCACAUUAUCCCUAUAGCAAAAUUCUGAUGGAUUAUUUAUCGGAAUGGACUUUUUUUGUUGCACGUUACCACUUUAAAUGUUAUUUUUGUUGCACUUUGCCCAUAAAAAUAUUAUUUUUCUGCACAUUGCCGAUUUAAAAUGUUAUUUUUGGUGCACGAUGUCCACUGGUAAUUGGCUUUUGGAGCAAAGGGCAACUAAAACAAUAAUUCGAAGUGGGUAGAUCCCUUUGUAGAAUUUUUAGGGGUGAAAAUGCAAGAAUGGAAAAUUUAUAGAGAGUGAAGUGCAUUUUGUCCCUUUUUUUUCAAAAAAAAAAAAAAAUUGUCAUGAAGUAUUUGAAGUGUAUCUGCAUAUUUUUUAUUAUCUGGAAAAAGAUAUAAUUAGUUCCCUAAUAAAUAAACAAUUACAUAAACCAACACAUCUUCGAUUCCUAAAAAUCGUACGCAUGUGGCUAUGCUUCAAUAUGAGGAUGUUCAGAUAUUCACAUCCAACUCCAAGCAUCUCUAUUUUCAUACAUACAUAUUCAGACCGCACACUUGGCAAAACCUCAUUGGUCAAAAGAAAACACUCACACAUCUCGUGAGAUUCUUACAUCCUCAUGUCUCCAAAUUCAAAGAGGAUUAGUGGUGAUAGCCGUUGCCAAAUAUACAUAUAUGCCACCUAGACCAAUAGCAAUCUGGAUAAUGAUAUUUAGAUAAUUAUUAGGACCCUCGCUCAUAUAAAUUAAACAUUCUUUGCAAAUACAUAUUCUUUCAUUUCAUAAUACAAUAAUGGCUGCCUCUUCAAGUUCAAUGGCGUUGUCUUCUCCAUCUUUCGCCGGACAGGCAGUGAAGCUCUCUCCCGAAAUCACCGCCAACUACAGCCGUGUCUCAAUGAGGAAAACCGCCGCAAAGCCGAAGCCUGCGUCAUCCGGCAGCCCAUGGUACGGCCCAGACCGUGUCAAGUAUUUGGGUCCAUUCUCCGGGGAGGCACCUAGCUACCUCACCGGUGAGUUCCCAGGUGACUACGGGUGGGAUACAGCUGGACUUUCGGCUGACCCCGAAACAUUCUCCAAGAACCGUGAGCUUGAAGUGAUCCACUCAAGAUGGGCCAUGCUUGGUGCUCUUGGUUGCGUCUUCCCCGAGCUUUUGGCCCGCAACGGUGU
rnacentral:lncRNA from 1 species